CUCAGAAUCAUAUAGAAAGGAAGCGAGAAGGAGAUUCUGAAAAUUACAAUGAACUCGCGGAAAACUGGAUGAUGGAUUAUGCCGCAGUCGUCAAUUGACUCUGCCAGAAAGUUUAUGUGUGUGCCUGUUCGUUGAUUACAUGGUGCUCACCGUCGCUUCCUUGAAGUCUCUACACUUAUUCUGUAUCCAAGGUGUGCCAUGUCGGUGUGCAUUUAAAAGUUGGUCUUGUAAUGGAGCUCCGUGAUCUGACUGUGUGUCACCACCAAUCAAAUUUCUUGCAAGCUCACCUAACACAUGUGUAAGAUGUAUCUUUGAGAACAAUGUCACAGUAUCCUAUUAUGCAGUGUUCAAAAUGAGUUCACAGUUCACAUAUUUUGUAGAAACCAGCUACACAUGCAUUUUCUACAGGCAUAUUUAUUGAGAAGAGUGCCAGAAGUAUCAAACUAUGCUGUUUCAGGGCAGAGGGAGACUUUCAGAACCAUACCACUGAUUGAAUAUUGUGUCAGUACCUCAAUGAAAAUUAUAUGGAGAUAUCAAACUAUUACUAUUUUAAUAACAACACAGCAGCACUCCCAAGGGGCACAUUUCUUAUGUGAAAGACAACUAAGUUAUUUUAGCUUUGCUUUUCACAGAACACAUCAACACUAUUUCAAGUUUACCAUGGC